GAGUUUGAUCGUGACUCAGAUUGAACGCUGGCGGCAGGCCUAACACAUGCAAGUCGAGCGGAUGAAGGGAGCUUGCUCCUGGAUUCAGCGGCGGACGGGUGAGUAAUGCCUAGGAAUCUGCCUGGUUGUGGGGGAUAACGUCCGGAAACGGGCGCUAAUACCGCAUACGUCCUGAGGGAGAAAGUGGGGGAUCUUCGGACCUCACGCUAUCAGACGAGCCUAGGUCGGAUUAGCUAGUUGGUGGGGUAAAGGCCUACCAAGGCGACGAUCCGUAACUGGUCUGAGAGGAUGAUCAGUCACACUGGAACUGAGACGCGGUCCAGACUCCUACGGGAGGCAGCAGUGGGGAAUAUUGGACAAUGGGCGAAAGCCUGAUCCAGCCAUGCCGCGUGUGUGAAGAAGGUCUUCGGAUUGUAAAGCACUUUAAGUUGGGAGGAAGGGCAGUAAGUUAAUACCUUGCUGUUUUGACGUUACCAACAGAAUAAGCACCGGCUAACUUCGUGCAAGCAGCAG
rnacentral:rRNA from 1 species